rnacentral:rRNA from 1 species
AUUGAACGCUGGCGGCAGGCUUAACACAUGCAAGUCGAGCGGAGAGAGGUAGCUUGCUACUGAUCUUAGCGGCGGACGGGUGAGUAAUGCUUAGGAAUCUGCCUAUUAGUGGGGGACAACAUUUCGAAAGGAAUGCUAAUACCGCAUACGUCCUACGGGAGAAAGCAGGGGAUCCUCGGACCUUGCGCUAAUAGAUGAGCCUAAGUCGGAUUAGCUAGUUGGGGGGGUAAAGGCCUACCAAGGCGACGAUCUGUAGCGGGUCUGAGAGGAUGAUGCGCCACACGGUGACUGAGACCAGGCCCAGACUACUACGGGAGGUAGCGGUGGGGAAUAUUGGACAAUGGGGGGAAGCCUGAUCCAGCCAUGCCGCGUGUGUGAAGAAGGCCUUAUGGUUGUAAAGCACUUUAAGCGAGGAGGAGGCUACUUUAGUUAAUACCUAGAGAUAGUGGACGUUACUCGCAGAAUAAGCACCGGCUAACUCUGUGCCAGCAGCCGCCGUAACAC